GUGUGGUGCCCCGCCUGGGCGCUCAGGUGGAGCCCUGAGGCCUCUGAGCACCGGGAAGAGCCUGCCCCAUGACGUGAACUGUGAUUUGGGUAAUCAGCCAUAAUUACAGUUAAUGAUAGCAGUGUCUGGGCACCCCUGCCAGAGUCAGGACCCCAUUGUGCUUGGCAUUGUGCAAACAUUUAGCAGGUAAAUUAGACACUGCAGUCAAAGCACCUUCAAAUGCCUGGCGAUCUGACAGCAGCGCCUUAAAGGAGUGUGGAGAUAAAGCUACCUGGCCUGCUCCAGCAGUCUGAAGGGAACUCCAGAGAUGGAGUGCAACCUUUUCAUUUCUGUGGCUCACGUGAGCUCAUCUGGGAACAGUGCUAAGAGAAAAAAAAGGAGACAAAGAACACAGCAUGGGACCAGAAUGGUAGUUGAGUACUACUUAACAGCCAAAUUCACAGCACACUGUACUCUACUACAAGAAUUGUCUUUAGUGGGUUUUGGAUCAGGCCUUUGGAACACAGGCCUGAAGCAGAGUCUGUCAGCCCAUUAAAAGUGAAAAAAAAGGACCAUGAAUCAAUCCUCCCCAUAUCUGCUCCAGAUUCUGAAUCAAAACCAUCCCUCGGUUCAUGUGAUUGCCAGAGAAAAGGGAAAAAAGGAGAAAAAAAAGUCCUUCUGUGUCUGUGGAAAGAUUUCUCAUCUGCAAUAUCUCAAACUUCUUGGGAAUUACCUGGAGUGUACCUUGAAGAAGUGCAUUUCUUUACUAAGAUUUACAGUAAGUGCAGUUUAUGUCUGCCAGCCUCCAGCACUAUGCCCACACUGUGCCAGAGCUGGGAUUGCAGCACGUGAGAUGUACUGAAACCAGCUUUCAUCUAGCACUCACAUGAGCCAGGAAGAUACCGUGGUUUAAGCUCUCGCUCCUUCCUUCCAAAACACAUAUGGAGCUCCUUCCAUAGCCUGCACAGCUGCAGAUUCCCUGCCAUACUCUGGAAGCUGGCUAGAACAUGGCCACGCUGCCGUCACAUCUCCGAUUACUGAACAGUCUGCAAUGCCUUGGCAGUGCUAUGGAUGAAGCCUGUUUACCUAAGACAGAAUCUUGGCCUGCCACUGCAUAUCCACCAUUACUGCUCCACAUCUUGGUGGAGUCACUCCUGGGUUACAUAAAUAUAAUUGAAAUCAGAAUCAGA